rnacentral:SRP_RNA from 1 species
GCUGGACACCGACCGUGAUGUGUGCCUGUAGUCCCAGCUACUGGGGAAGUUGAAACAGGAGGAUCGUUUGAGGCCAGGAGUUCUGGACUGUAGUGUGCUAUGCUAACUAGGUAUCUGCACUAAGUUCUGCAUCAAUAUAGUGAUUUCCUAGGAGCAGGGGACCACCAGGUUACCUAAGGAGGGGUGAACCAGGCCAUGGAGCAGGUCAAGACUCCCGUGGUGAUCAGUAGUAGGAUGAUACCUGGGAAUAGCCACUGUACUUCAGCUUAGAAAACUUAUAUAGGCUGUCCU